rnacentral:lncRNA from 1 species
GUCCCUGUUUGUGGGUGGUGUCUGUGGGUGACUGUAGUGGUGUCACGGUGCUGGUGAAGUCACGGUGUUGGUGAAGUCACGGUGUUGGUGAAGUCACGGUGUUGGUGGAGUCACGGUGUUGGUGAAGUCACGGUGUUGGCGGUGUCAUGGUGGCCUCCAGGCACUGGGCCUGGAGCGGGUGUCGCGGGAGGAGCUGGUGGAGGACCUGGACGAGGAGGGCUCCAUGGGUCUGGGUGGUGUCCGUGGGUGACUGUAGCGGUGUCACUAUGUCAUGGAGUCACGGUGUUGGUGAAGUCACGGUGUUGGUGGUGUCAUGGCAGCCUACAGGGGCUGCGAG